AGGGUUUGAUCAUGGCUCAGGACGAACGCUGGCGGCGUGCUUAACACAUGCAAGUCGAGCGAUGAAGCACCUUCGGGUGUGAAUUAGCGGCGAACGGGUGAGGAACACGUGAGAAAUCUGCCUUCAACACUGGGAUAACUCCGGGAAACCGGGGCCAAUACCGGAUAUGAAACCUGCGGGCAUCCGCGGGUUUGGAAAGUUUUUCGGUUGAAGAUGAUCUCGCGGCCUAUCAGCUUGUUGGUGAGGUAAUGGCUCACCAAGGCGACGACGGGUAGCCGGCCUGAGAGGGCGACCGGCCACACUGGGACUGAGACACGGCCCAGACUCCUACGGGAGGCAGCAGUGGGGAAUAUUGGGCAAUGGAGGAAACUCUGACCCAGCGACGCCGCGUGCGGGAUGAAGGCCUUCGGGUUGUAAACCGCUUUCAGCAGGGAAGAAGCGAAAGUGACGGUACCUGCAGAAGAAGCACCGGCUAACUAUGUGCCAGCCGCCGCGGUAAUACA
rnacentral:rRNA from 1 species